AUUGAACGCUGGCGGCAGGCUUAACACAUGCAAGUCGAGCGAGCGGCGGACGGGUGAGUAAUGUAUGGGGACUGCCCGAUAGAGGGGGAUAACUACUGGAAACGGUGGCUAAUACCGCAUACUAUCGGAUACCCCAUAUGGGAUUAGCUAGUAGGUGGGGUAAAGGCUCACCUAGGCGACGAACGCUAGUUGGUCUGAGAGGAUGAUGAGCAGCACUGGUAGUGAGACACGGCCCAGACUCCUACGGAGGGAGCAGUGGUGAAUAUGGCACAAUGGGAGCAAGCCUGAUGCAGCCAUGCCAGGUGAAUGAAGAAGGCCUUAGGGUUGUAAAGUACUUUCUGGGGGGAGACGUUACCCGCAGGAGAAGCACCGGCUAACUCCGUGCCAGAAGCCGCGGUAAUUC
rnacentral:rRNA from 1 species